rnacentral:lncRNA from 10 species
CCUGUGCCCUGCCCACUCAUCCGCAUUCUCCUCGGACUGGUAUCUUCGGCAGGCUUUGGUUUUAUGGUGCAAAUGGCAAACCACCAACAGCAGAAGGAAGUUUUGUUUGGAGUCAGGGGAUGCCUUGUAAGUUACAGAAAUUUACAAGGGCAAAGGCAGCCAUGUGCUCAAGAUUUAAACUUCCUCUAGAUGCUUCUUGACAGAAACCAUUGGGACAAGUCUUCAACUUCUGAAAUUAUAUUUUGAAGGCAGUGCCACACUUUUGCUGAGGGUGAGUGGGUGGAUUACUACAUGAAGGGACAGUAGGAGAUGCCUCUGUUAAUGGAUUAUUCUUUCAUGGGGUUAUCCACACAAAAACAACACAACUCAAUGUCAAGUGCCUUUUAGGCCUCCCUUUAAUUUUAAGGAUCUGAAGAAGGAGGUAGCAGAUGGAGACACUGAGCCACAGAGCCACACACCUACAGCCAUAUGAUAAAUCAGCCAUGAGUCCAGAGAACCAAGUCUACUUUUCCUGAUUCCAGAGGCUCUGGAUGAAGUCAAAGCAAUUGUGUUCCAGGUGCUUGUUGCUGUUUUCAAGAUGAGUGCACAGCCAACAUUGGUGCCUCGAUGGGCCUAUCUCCUUCCUGGAAUGACUACACCUGUUGGUCUGGAUUGCAGCUGGAAUUGGAAGGGAAAUGCAUUUCCAUUGAAGGAAGAAGUGUAACAGUGAGCAGGCAGGUGUCAGCGGAUCUCAAGAGAAUAAUGUCAACUGGACAAUGGCUUAGAGGCAGGAGGAGGCAGAUCAGCUAGGCAGAUGUGCAGAAGUUAAGUGUGGUUUCAUGCAGAAACUUCCAAAUGGAUUCAAGAGCCAAAGCCUUCAAGAAGUUGGUGUCAUUGUCACUUGGAAUAUGUUUGUAUUAAUACAGGUAGAAUAUGUUAAUAAACCAUAUUCUUAUCAAGAAUCUUCCAUUUACAGCCCUUAUUUUCUCCCUUUAUUUUUGCCCUUUCUUUUCUGCCUGGCUGUUUAACUCCUGGAUAUCUGAU